UAUAACCAGAAAGGAUGUGCAGAGGCCAU
rnacentral:piRNA from 1 species